rnacentral:rRNA from 1 species
AGCGAACGCUGGCGGCAGGCCUAACACAUGCAAGUCGAACGAACCUUUCGGGGUUAGUGGCGGACGGGUGAGUAACACGUGGGAACGUGCCCUUAGGUUCGGAAUAACUCAGGGAAACUUGCGCUAAUACCGAAUGAGCCCUUCGGGGGAAAGAUUUAUCGCCUUUAGAGCGGCCCGCGUCUGAUUAGCUAGUUGGGUGAGGUAAUGGCUCACCAAGGCGACGGUCAGUAGCUGGUCUGAGAGGAGGAUCAGCCACAUUGGGACUGAGACACGGCCCAAACUCCUGCGGGAGGCAGCAGUGGGGAAUCUUGCGCAAUGGGCGAAAGCCUGACGCAGCCAUGCCGCGUGAAUUGUGAGGGUCUUAGGAUUGUACAAUUCUUUCACCGGGGACGAUAAUGACGGUACCCGGAGAAGAAGCCCCGGCUAACUUCGUG